rnacentral:snRNA from 1 species
GUGCUCACUCCCACAGCACGUAUAACUAAAAUGAACGAUACAGAGAAGAUUAGCAUGGUCUAUGCAAAGAUGACAUGCAAAUUCGUGAAUCAUUUCCCCGAGGG